CGGGAAGCUGAGGUUUUUCCUAUGUCUGAACAAUGACGCCAUCGUUUUCUGGGUCUUCGAAGCAGUUGCAAAGAAAUGCCCAGAUGGAGGACAGAGGGCCAAACCACCCCAGUGAAUUCAUAACAGGAGAUAACUUGCUUAAGACCUGACUGUUUUUAAAAGCGAAUGCCAGUGAGUGAAAUGCCAGCUCCCUGUACAGUUACUAGAGCUCCUGGGAAUGCAUGGCCAGUGACACAAGUGAGAAUUGGAUGUUAUGACCGUCCAGAAAAGACAAGAUGAGAAAGUGCAGUAUUGACUGUCUUCAAACGCACCUGUCCUUGCUCAAGUGCUGGGAUUGUGUGCCAACGGCUAUGAUAGAUAUGAAUAGAGCACGAGAUAAUGUGCUUACAGAAAGUUGGUUGAAUUGAAUGCAAUUAAUGUUUGGAGGCACUUAGUCUUCUAGUGUUUGAAUGUGGAUGGAAUUAAAGCUGGGUUUGUAGUGAGCCAUUAGGAUUAUGGCAAAUGUCUAGUGUACAGAAUUCAGUGUAGGCCGGGAGUUGAGACUGGUGUGUGUUUAGUGGAUUAUCUGAUCAGCACAUGUGUGACAGUGUUGAUCACAAGUCAUUGCCAGCUCUGUUCAUUUUCUUCCCUGGUCUAACUCAAUAAUUGCCAUCAUGAAAAUUCUGGGUGACUUUUGUGACUAAAGUCCCAUUGUAAGCCACAUUCUUUGUCCAGCAGUGCUCACUGACUGCUGAAAUAAAUGUUCAUUUGCAAC
rfam:Cricetulus longicaudatus gadd7 mRNA.